rnacentral:rRNA from 1 species
UACGUAGAGUGCGAGCGUUAAUCGGAAUUACUGGGCGUAAAGCGUGCGCAGGCGGUGAUGUAAGACAGAUGUGAAAUCCCCGGGCUCAACCUGGGAACUGCAUUUGUGACUGCAUCGCUGGAGUGCGGCAGAGGGGGAUGGAAUUCCGCGUGUAGCAGUGAAAUGCGUAGAUAUGCGGAGGAACACCGAUGGCGAAGGCAAUCCCCUGGGCCUGCACUGACGCUCAUGCACGAAAGCGUGGGGAGCAAACAGG